AGUUCAUUGAUGAGCUGAAGUCCAGAGGAGGGGGACCGGCAUGGUGAAAAGCCUGGAGUCCAUGGCAUUGGAGGAGAGUCACAGAGGACUGUGAUAGCUGGCUUCUAGUAUUGGAAGGGUUGUGAUGUGAAGGUGAUCUUGUGAGCUAUGAACUAUCUGGAGACCAGGCCAGCAGAGAUCCAGACCAGAGUCCUUGGUCCACCAGCCCAGCAGUGGACGGACCCUACAGCCACGAUGAUUCAGACAGUUGCUGAGAAUACCAAGAUCAGAUGGCUACCUAGUGCAUGCAUGUGAGGACCAGCACUUGAAUUCGGGACUUCCUGCCUCUCUCUGGACCCUGGAUUGCCUCUCGUACUGGAAUGAUACCAAACUGAACGUUUUUUCUGUAAUGAUACAGGGGGCUCUUUGUGAGGGAUUGUCUGAUGUUGGCUA